rnacentral:rRNA from 1 species
AGCCAUGCCGCGUGUGUGAAGAAGGCCUUCGGGUUGUAAAGCACUUUCAGUAGGGAGGAAGGUGUUGUCGUUAAUAGCGGCAACAUUUGACGUUACCUACAGAAGAAGCACCGGCUAACUCCGUGCCAGCAGCCGCGGUAAUACGGAGGGUGCGAGCGUUAAUCGGAAUUACUGGGCGUAAAGCGCAUGCAGGUGGUGAGUUAAGUCAGAUGUGAAAGCCCGGGGUCAACCUCGGAGUUGCAUUUGAAACUGGCUGACUAGAGUACUGUAGAGGGGGGUAGAAUUUCAGGUGUAGCGGUGAAAUGCGUAGAGAUCUGAAGGAAUACCGGUGGCGAAGGCGGCCCCCUGGACAGAUACUGACACUCAGAUGCGAAAGCGUGGGGAGCAAACAGGAUUAGAUACCCUGGUAGUCCACGCCGUAAACGAUGUCUACUUGGAGGUUGUGGCCUUGAGCCGUGGCUUUCGGAGCUAACGCGUUAAGUAACCGCCUGGGGAGUACGGUCGCAAGAUUAAAACUCAAAUGAAUUGACGGGGGCCCGCACAAGCGGUGGAGCAUGUGGUUUAAUUCGAUGCAACGCGAAGAACCUUACCUACUCUUGACAUCCAGAAAAUCCUGCGGAGACGCGGGAGUGCCUUCGGGAAUUCUGAGACAGGUGCUGCAUGGCUGUCGUCAGCUCGUGUUGUGAAAUGUUGGGUUAAGUCCCGCAACGAGCGCAACCC